rnacentral:tRNA from 1 species
GCCCUGAUAGUAUAAACAUUACUUUGGUCUUGUAAACCAAAAACGGAGAAGAAUAUCUCCUCAAGGCA